GAGAAUGUUACUAUUCUUCUGGCUUUAAACAACAAUACUUCCACUUUUACAAGACCUAACUUGUGUGAUGUUGUGCACCAAAAUAUUUCUAGAAAGUAGUUUUAAAGGAGCAGUGUCCCAGAUGUCAACUUGAAAGCAGCUCUUGAAGCAUUAUGAAAGAACUUUGGAAUCUCCAGAUGAAAAGACCUAGCUCAUUCUACUUCCAGAAACAAGACAUGGCCAUGGUCAAAAGGAUGAAAAUUGCACAGAGGAGAGUGAAAAGUUUGGGGUCCAGAGAGGCUCUCCCCAAGGUACUGGCAGACCUGAUAAUUUCCACAGCUGUUCUUCAUAGAGGAGAAGUGAGAAAAGUGUUAGUGACCAUGGG
rnacentral:lncRNA from 1 species